rnacentral:rRNA from 1 species
UACGAAGGGGGCUAGCGUUGUUCGGAAUUACUGGGCGUAAAGCGCGUGUAGGCGGGUCUUUAAGUCCGGGGUGAAAUCCUCUCGCUCAACGAGAGAACUGCCUUGGAUACUGAGAAUCUCGAGGGAGGUAGGGGCAUGUGGAACUUCCGGUGGAGCGGUGAAAUGCGUAGAUAUCGGAAGGAACGCCGGUGGCGAAAGCGACGUGCUGGACCUUUUCUGACGCUGAGGCGCGAAAGCCAGGGGAGCAAACGGG